rfam:Aedes albopictus isolate Foshan contig127380, whole genome shotgun sequence.
UGUUCUAUGGCUUAGUUGGUUAAAGCGCCGGUCUAGCGAAUACGGAGUCGUGGGUUCGAAUCCCACCAGAACGC